UACGUAGGUGACAAGCGUUGUCCGGAUUUACUGGGCGUAGAGAGCGCGCAGGCGGUCGAUCAAGUCGAGUGUGGAAGCCCCCGGCUCAACUGGGGAGGGUCAUUCGAUACUGAUCGACUCGAAGGCAGGAGAGGGUAGUGGAAUUCCCGGUGUAGUGGUGAAAUGCGUAGAUAUCGGGAGGAACACCAGUGGCGAAGGCGACUACCUGGCCUGUUCUUGACGCUGAGGCGCGAAAGCUAGGGGAGCAAACGGG
rnacentral:rRNA from 1 species